rnacentral:rRNA from 1 species
UACGGGGGGGGGCUAGCGUUGUUCGGAAUUACUGGGCGUAAAGGGCGCGUAGGCGGUCUACUAAGUUGGAUGUGAAAACUCUGGGCUUAACCCAGAGCCUGCAUUCAAAACUGAUAGGCUAGAGUUCUGGAGGGGAUAGCGGAAUUCCUGGUGUAGCGGUGAAAUGCGUAGAUAUCAGGAGGAACACCGGUGGCGAAGGCGGCAUCCUGGACCGACACUGACACUGAGGAGCGAAAGCCAGGGGAGCAAACGGG